GUGCUCACUUCAGCAGCAAGUGUACUAAAAUUGGAAUGAUACAGAGAAGAUUAACAUAGUCCCCACACAAGGAUGACACGCAAAUUUGUGAAACAUCCCGUACUAAA